UACGGGGGGAGCAAGCGUUGUUCGGAUUUACUGGGCGUAAAGGGCGCGUAGGCGGCCAGCACAAGUCAGUUGUGAAAUCUCCGAGCUUAACUCGGAAAGGUCAACUGAUACUGUGCGGCUAGAGUGCAGAAGGGGCAACUGGAAUUCUCGGUGUAGCGGUGAAAUGCGAAGAUAUCGAGAGGAACACCUGCGGCGAAGGCGGGUUGCUGGGCUGACACUGACGCUGAUGCGCGAAAGCUAGGGGAGCGAACGGG
rnacentral:rRNA from 1 species